UACGUUCCCGGGUCUUGUACACACCGCCCGUCACACCACGAAAGUCGGCAACACCCGAAGCCGGUGGCCUAACCCGCAAGGGAGGGAGCCGUCGAAGGUGGGGCCGGCGAUUGGGGUG
rnacentral:rRNA from 1 species